GACACGGUCGAUGUGGAGUAAUUUGAAUUUCGAAUCUAUCUAUAUUGGUCCUUUACCGAUGUUUUGGGGGCUGUCGGAAAUUGGUUCCGCAAUCUACAAAAGUGAACAGAGGGAGUAGUUGUUUCUCUAGUCCGUACCAACGCACGUGUUUCUAACUAGUACUUCCUCGACACCACAAUCUUUAUUAUUAAAAAAAUUUUGCCGUCGUCGUGAUGGUUCGACCUCCAAUCGAG
rnacentral:lncRNA from 1 species